rnacentral:rRNA from 1 species
CAGUAGCCGCGGUAACACAGAGGGUGCGAGCGUUAAUCGGAUUUACUGGGCGUAAAGCGUGCGUAGGCGGCUUCUUAAGUCGGAUGUGAAAUCCCUGAGCUUAACUUAGGAAUUGCAUUCGAUACUGGGAAGCUAGAGUAUGGGAGAGGAUGGUAGAAUUCCAGGUGUAGCGGUGAAAUGCGUAGAGAUCUGGAGGAAUACCGAUGGCGAAGGCAGCCAUCUGGCCUAAUACUGACGCUGAGGUACGAAAGCAUGGGGAGCAAACAGGAUUAGAUACCCCAGUAGUCCCUGUCUCUUAUAC